rnacentral:rRNA from 1 species
AACGAACGCUGGCGGCAGGCCUAACACAUGCAAGUCGAGCGGACCUUUCGGGGUCAGCGGCGGACGGGUGAGUAACGCGUGGGAAUAUGCCCUUCUCUACGGAAUAGUCCUGGGAAACUGGGGGUAAUACCGUAUACGCCCUUUGGGGGAAAGAUUUAUCGGGGAAGGAUUAGCCCGCGUUGGAUUAGGUAGUUGGUGGGGUAAUGGCCUACCAAGCCGACGAUCCAUAGCUGGUUUGAGAGGAUGAUCAGCCACACUGGGACGGAGACACGGCCCAGACUCCUGCGGGGGAGCGGUGUGGGGUCUCAUACACUGUGGGCAACCCUGAUCUAGCCAUGCCGCGUGAGUGAUGAAGGCCUUAGGGUUGUAAAGCUCUUUCAGCUGGGAAGAUAAUGACGGUACCAGCAGAAGAAGCCCCGGCUAACUCCGUG